UACAGAGGUCCCAAGCGUUGUUCGGAUUCACUGGGCGUAAAGGGUGUGUAGGUGGCGCCGUUAGUCGGGUGUGAAAUUUCGGAGCUUAACUCCGAAACUGCAUUCGAUACUGCGGUGCUUGAGGACUGGAGAGGAGACUGGAAUUCAUGGUGUAGCAGUGAAAUGCGUAGAGAUCAUGAGGAAGACCAGUGGCGAAGGCGGGGUCUCUGGACAGUUCCUGACACUGAGACACGAAGGCCAGGGGAGCAAACGGG
rnacentral:rRNA from 1 species